GGGUGAUUAGCUCAGUUGGUAGAGCGCCUGCCUUACAAGCAGGAUGUCGGCGGUUCGAGCCCGUCAUCGCCCACCA
rnacentral:tRNA from 10 species